rfam:Ciona savignyi cont_28849, whole genome shotgun sequence.
GUUUCCGUAGUGUAGUGGUUAUCACGUUCGCAUCACACGCGAAAGGUCCCCGGUUCGAACCCGGGCGGAAACA